AUCUACAGCCAUACCACCCUGAACACGCCCAAUCUCAUCUGAUCUCGGAAGCUAAGCAGGGUCAGAACUGAUUAAUUCUUGGAUGGGAGACUGCUUGGGAAUACCAGAUGCCAUAGGCU
rnacentral:rRNA from 1 species